rnacentral:rRNA from 1 species
CUUGUUGGUGAGAUAACGGCUCACCAAGGCUUCGACGGGUAGCCGGCCUGAGAGGGCGACCGGCCACACUGGGACUGAGAUACGGCCCAGACUCCUACGGGAGGCAGCAGUGGGGAAUAUUGCACAAUGGGCGAAAGCCUGAUGCAGCAACGCCGCGUGCGGGAUGACGGCCUUCGGGUUGUAAACCGCUUUCAGUUCCGACGAAGGUAACCUGACGGUAGGAAUAGAAGAAGGACCGGCCAACUACGUGCCAGCAGCCGCGGUGAUACGUAGGGUCCGAGCGUUGUCCGGAAUUAUUGGGCGUAAAGGGCUUGUAGGCGGUUUGUCGCGUCGGAAGUGAAAACUCAGGGCUUAACCCUGAGCCUGCUUCCGAUACGGGCAAACUAGAGGGAUGCAGGGGAGAACGGAAUUCCUGGUGGAGCGGUGGAAUGCGCAGAUAUCAGGAGGAACACCGGUGGCGAAGGCGGUUCUCUGGGCAUUUCCUGACGCUGAGAAGCGAAAGCGUGGGGAGCAAACAGGCUUAGAUACCCUGGUAGUCCACGCCGUAAACGGUGGGCACUAGGUGUGGGGAACAUUCCACGUUCUCCGUGCCGCAGCUAACGCAUUAAGUGCCCCGCCUGGGGAGUACGGCCGCAAGGCUAAAACUCAAAGGAAUUGACG